AGUGAACGCUGGCGGUAGGCCUAACACAUGCAAGUCGAACGGCAGCACAGUAAGAGCUUGCUCUUACGGGUGGCGAGUGGCGGACGGGUGAGGAAUACAUCGGAAUCUACUUUUUCGUGGGGGAUAACGUAGGGAAACUUACGCUAAUACCGCAUACGACCUACGGGUGAAAGCAGGGGAUCUUCGGACCUUGCGCGAUUGAAUGAGCCGAUGUCGGAUUAGCUAGUUGGCGGAGUAAAGGCCCACCAAGGCGACGAUCCGUAGCUGGUCUGAGAGGAUUAUCAGCCACACUGGAACUGAGACACGGUCCAGACUCCUACGGGAGGCAGCAGUGGGGAAUAUUGGACAAUGGGCGCAAGCCUGAUCCAGCCAUACCGCGUGGGUGAAGAAGGCCUUCGGGUUGUAAAGCCCUUUUGUUGGGAAAGAAAAGCAGCAGGUUAAUACCCCGCUGUUCUGACGGUACCCAAAGAAUAAGCACCGGCUAACUUCGUG
rnacentral:rRNA from 1 species